UAUAAAUAUCUAUGUAAUCUCAUUUUUAAAUAAAGUUCAACUAUUCAAUAAACUAAAAUGAGAGAUCUUAAUUUUCUUGUGUGAUGUAAUCAAAUCUUGUUUAAGACUUCUUAUAUGCAAAGUCUAAGUUUGUAUCACCAAAUCUUCAAGUAGGCAAAUUAUCCUUAACUUGUCAUAUAUUAGUUGGUAUAAAACUAAAAGCUCUAUA
rnacentral:lncRNA from 1 species